rnacentral:rRNA from 1 species
UGCUAGUAUACGUAGAAUAAGGAUCGGCUAACUCCGUGCCAGCAGCCGCGGUAAUACGGAGGAUCCGAGCGUUAUCCGGAUUUAUUGGGUUUAAAGGGUGCGCAGGCGGCGUAUUAAGUCAGCGGUUAAAUAGUGAGGCUCAACCUCAUCCCGCCGUUGAUACUGGUAUGCUUGAUUUCGGUUGAGGUUGGCGGAAUUCGCCGUGUAGCGGUGAAAUGCAUAGAUAUGGCGAAGAACUCCGAUUGCGUAGGCAGCUGACCAAGCCGAUAAUGACGCUCAUGCACGAAAGUGCGGGGAUCGAACAGGAUUAGAUACCCUG